rnacentral:rRNA from 1 species
AUUGAACGCUGGCGGCAUGCCUUACACAUGCAAGUCGAACGGCAGCACGGGUGCUUGCACCUGGUGGCGAGUGGCGAACGGGUGAGUAAUACAUCGGAACAUGUCCUGUAGUGGGGGAUAGCCCGGCGAAAGCCGGAUUAAUACCGCAUACGAUCCACGGAUGAAAGCGGGGGACCUUCGGGCCUCGCGCUAUCGGGUUGGCCGAUGGCUGAUUAGCUAGUUGGUGGGGUAAAGGCCUACCAAGGCGACGAUCAGUAGCUGGUCUGAGAGGACGACCAGCCACACUGGGACUGAGACACGGCCCAGACUCCUACGGGAGGCAGCAGUGUGGAAUUUUGGACAAUGGGCGAAAGCCUGAUCCAGCAAUGCCGCGUGUGUGAAGAAGGCCUUCGGGUUGUAAAGCACUUUUGUCCGGAAAGAAAUCCUUGACUCUAAUACAGUCGGGGGAUGACGGUACCGGAAGAAUAAGCACCGGCUAACUACGUG